rnacentral:lncRNA from 1 species
AGAGCACUUUCCACUACAUCACAAGGGAAGAGCAAAAAGAAAAAAUAACAUCUAAUUUUACCAGAAAAUAAAAUACAGGCAGGCCUGAACCACAGCCAGAGUUAAAUGUGGAGCAUACCUACCUCCAAACCCAGCUGGAACCUCAAAGCACUCUGCAUCUGAGGAUCUCAAAUGGCCUGACAAACGUUAAUUAACUAAGCUGCACAACACUCCUGUGAGGGUGGCAGGCAGCAUGAUCCUCUCCAAGCGACAGAUGAACGGAGAUCCUGGGAGGCCCUUCCUUUGAAAGUCAGUGGCUCAACUUGGAACUCAACUUCCAGAACUUGGAACUCAACUCCCCAGGCCCAUGGUUGAGCAUCUCCGCUGAAGCCAAGUAGCACAAAAUGUAGAUGUUACAACUGACAGACUUUUCUAAAGAAAUUUAAACUGGAAACCAAGAUCAAUCUCAAGGAGAUUUAUCUUUCCUCUAGCUGCAAGAAAAAAGUGCUCUAAUAACUACAGCAUUUGAACCUAUGGAAGAACCUGAGCUACAAGUUAUCUAUAACAUUCCGUUUUGACAAAUAACAUGGAGGAGUUUACCUGAAUGUUGAUUUUCCAUGAGCUCCCCCUAAAGACUCACCCAAUAAGCUUAACUGUACUUCCGUAUUUUAUUAACAAAUGAAAAACUACACAAUGUUGGUUAAUUUUUUUGUGAAAUUUAAUGAUCGAUUUUUGGAUCCUUAUUCAUGUAGUUAUCAGAUAAAAAGCCAAGUUUUCUGCAAUGGAAUAUCCAAUCUAAAAAUUCCAUUACA